GUACUUCACAGGAUAGAGUUUCCAAUGCUAUAGUGAGUGAGAAUGAUGAGAGUGACCUACUUGUCUUGCUUCCAGUUUUGCUGGACCCAUCUUGAAAGUGCUUUUUCUGAAAGUCAGUGAACCCCGGCUUGUUUCAUGUGUCAGGAGAUAGCAUCUUUUCUCCAACAGGCUUUGAAGAGAUGCUCCCUGUAGACCCAACAGAGCAGCAGCCCACUGGUUCCUACAGCUGGAUGAUGCCACCUGCUCAGGCCAGGGUCUCAGGGUUCCUCACUGGCCCCUUCCAAUAGCCACAUCCUUCCCAGAAAGAGAGGGGCCUGUCAGCCCUGGGGUCCUCUGUCCAGAGCUGGGGCUCUUCCUUCUGCCCAGGCACUGGGAACUGGGAUGCUGGGAUUCCAACCCAGAAGCUUGAAGCCCACUCUCUGGCCCAUCUUCCCAACAUCCACUGCCCUGGCCUUGUGCUAGCCCUCAAACCCAAGGGCAAGAGGCAGCUUACCUGGAGGGUGUGGCCAGGAGUCCAGCCAGCCUCACUUGCCUUCCCAGGGCUGUAUCUGUGAAUGAAGAAUAGAAGUAUUUCUGUUUAGCAGACUGCCAGCUUGAUGGGUCACUCUAAAGACUUCAUGUGUGGCAAGCAGCCCCUCCCUGAGCCCCUGCCUGGAGCUGUGAAGGCCAGGAGCAGGCCUGUCUACACCUCCUCCCUGGGCUGACUGGUGGGCCCAGCCUCCAGUGCAAAUGGAUUUUCUUCUCCUAGGAGUCUGAAGGGACAGGGAAUCAUUUUAGGAUCUGUGAGUAUAAAACUGAGUGAGGAAGUAGUUAAAUGACAGCUGGGCCCACCCUUCCCUGCUUCUCCAUCACUCACUUGGAGGACACCCUUUGUAAGAAGGUAGACUAUUGCAUGCGCGCACAUGAGCGCGCGCAUGUGUGUGUGUGUGUGUGUGUGUGUGUGUACAUGUGAACAGCUCGUCCCACCUCAGCCAGGAGCCAAAUGCUCACAUGCACAUGCUGACAAGAUCUCCUUUAGGACUUGAAGUUUCUAGAUCCCUCUAGAAAUCCUCAUGCAGCCUCAGGCUCAGAUUCCAGCUUCUCAGAGGGUCCCAACCAAGCACAACACAGUAAGCAUCAGGGAAAUUACUCAGUCAUGUUCAGCAGCCUCCCUGAACUCCACUGUCCCUACAACCAUUGCUACCACCCUACUGAAACUGGAGAUUAGGUGUGGCCAGCUAGCUGGGCAAGUGGGCUGACCUGUCAAUCACAGGAACACAUGUGCUCAAGCCCUGCACCUGGGACCAAUCAGAGAAUGCUAUCUUCAAUUCUUCAAGCAGGUUUUUGAUAGGAUGGCUUAGAUCUG